rnacentral:rRNA from 1 species
GACGAACGCUGGCGGCGUGCUUAACACAUGCAAGUCGAACGGAAGGGCCCUGCUUUCGUGGGGUGCUCGAGUGGCGAACGGGUGAGUAACACGUGAGUAACCUGCCCUUGACUUUGGGAUAACUUCAGGAAACUGGGGCUAAUACCGUAUAGGAGCUCCCGUUGCAUGGUGGGGGUUGGAAAGUUUCGGCGGUUGGGGAUGGACUGGCGGCUUAUCAGCUUGUUGGUGGGGUAGUGGCUUACCAAGGCUUUGACGGGUAGCCGGCCUGAGAGGGUGACCGGCCACAUUGGGACUGAGAUACGGCCCAGACUCGUACGGGAGGCAGCAGUGGGGAAUAUUGCACAAUGGGCGGAAGCCUGAUGCAGCAACGCCGCGUGCGGGAUGACGGCCUUCGGGUUGUAAACCGCUUUCGCCUGUGACGAAGCGUGAGUGACGGUAAUGGGUAAAGAAGCACCGGCUAACUACGUG